AGGGUGUGCGCAAAAAUCUGAAUUUCAGAUUUUUGGUUCUAAGGGUUUGGGAAGAGAGAAUACAUUAGAAGAAAAUUAUUUUCUUCUGCAUCUUUCUUAUACCUCUUCAUCUCCUCCAGAAGUCCAUCUUCAAUCUCUAGAAAAAUUUUCAAGAUUUGAAGAAAAGAUCCAGAUCAGCCAAGAAGAAGAUCUUCACGUGAGCUAGCACUCUUGAAAAGACUGAUCAGAUCGGAGCUUCGAGUGAAUUUUGCAUAG
rnacentral:lncRNA from 1 species